rnacentral:rRNA from 1 species
UGAGGAAUAUUGGUCAAUGGGCGACAGCCUGAACCAGCCAUCCCGCGUGAAGGAAGAAAGCGCUAUGCGUUGUAAACUUCUUUUCCAGAGGGAUAAAAUGAUGUACGCGUACAUUACUGAAGGUACUCUGGGAAUAAGCAUCGGCUAACUCCGUGCCAGCAGCCGCGGUAAUACGGAGGAUGCGAGCGUUAUCCGGAUUUAUUGGGUUUAAAGGGUGCGUAGGCGGGACAAUAAGUCAGUGGUGAAAACCUGCAGCUUAACUGUAGACUUGCCGUUGAUACUGUUGUUCUUGAGUAUGGUCAAGGCAGGCGGAAUGUGUAAUGUAGCGGUGAAAUGCUUAGAUAUUACACAGAACACCGAUAGCGAAGGCAGCUUGCUGGGCCGUUACUGACGCUGAUGCACGAAAGCGUGGGGAUCGAACAG